rnacentral:tRNA from 1 species
ACGCCGGGUUGACCUCGGGAUGGGGCAGCCAGCCCCCCAGCGUCUGGGCGAGGCGGGCCGCGUCACGCAGCCCCAGGUUCAGGCCCUGGCCGGCGACC